rnacentral:rRNA from 1 species
GUGGGGAAUCUUGCGCAAUGGGCGAAAGCCUGACGCAGCCAUGCCGCGUGAAUGAUGAAGGUCUUAGGAUUGUAAAAUUCUUUCACCGGGGACGAUAAUGACGGUACCCGGAGAAGAAGCCCCGGCUAACUUCGUGCCAGCAGCCGCGGUAAUACGAAGGGGGCUAGCGUUGCUCGGAAUUACUGGGCGUAAAGGGCGCGUAGGCGGACAGUUUAGUCAGAGGUGAAAGCCCAGGGCUCAACCUUGGAAUUGCCUUUGAUACUGGCGGUCUUGAGUUUGGGAGAGGUGAGUGGAACUCCGAGUGUAGAGGUGAAAUUCGUAGAUAUUCGGAAGAACACCAGUGGCGAAGGCGACUCACUGGCCCAAUACUGACGCUGAGGCGCGAAAGCGUGGGGAGCAAACAGGAUUAGAAACCCUAGUAGUCC